GUGCUGCUUCAGCACACAUAUUAAAAUUAUAACAAUGCUUAGAAGAAUAGUGUUGCCCAUGAAAAAGGCUUAAAACAAAUUCAUGAAAGGUUCCAUAUUUUU